rnacentral:rRNA from 1 species
AUUGAACGCUGGCGGCAGGCCUUACACAUGCAAGUCGUGCGAGCGGCGGACGGGUGAGUAAUGUAUGGGGACCCGCCCGAUAGAGGGGGAUAACUACUGGAAACGGUGGCUAAUACCGCAUACUAUCAGAUGAACCUAUAUGGGAUUAGCUGGUAGGUGGGGUAAAGGCUCACCUAGGCGACGAUCUCUAGCGGGUCUGAGAGGAUGAUCAGCCACACUGGGACUGAGACACGGCCCAGACUCCUACGGGAGGCAGCAGUGGGGAAUAUUGGACAAUGGGCGCAAGCCUGAUGCAGCCAUGCCGCGUGUAUGAAGAAGGCCUUAGGGUUGUAAAGUACUUUCGGCGGGGAAGCGUUACCCGCAGAAGAAGCACCGGCUAACUCCGUGCCAGCAGCCGCGGUAAUAC